rnacentral:rRNA from 1 species
UACAGAAGAGGCUAGCGUUGUUCGGAAUUACUGGGCGUAAAGAGCGCGUAGGCGGCUUACCAAGUUGGGGGUGAAAUCCCGGAGCUCAACUCCGGAACUGCCUUCAAAACUGGUAGGCUCGAGUCCGGAAGAGGGGCGUGGAAUUCCCAGUGUAGAGGUGAAAUUCGUAGAUAUUGGGAAGAACACAGGUGGCGAAGGCGGCGCCCUGGUCCGGUACUGACGCUGAGGCGCGAAAGCGUGGGGAGCAAACAGG